rnacentral:tmRNA from 1 species
GGGGAUGAAAUGUUUCGACAGUGGAAGAAGUUGUGUGAUCGUGCGUGCCGAGCAUGUUCGUAGUCUCGUAAAUCACGCGAACAACUUGAAAGUGCCAAGAAAAGCACCGGUGGAAUUGCAACGCCUUACUUUAAGGCAAACAAUUUCGCUUUCGCCUACGCUUAAGUAGACGGCGCGAAGCGGGAGUACACCUGAUAGGCCCAUCCUUCGUGUCAUAUUUUCAGGAUAAGCAUUGUAGUACCCGAAUACAGUGACGAAAACUAAGGGAGUAGUGCUCGUAAGGUUUUGUUUGUCUAGCCCUUGCGACAUGAAAUCAAUGAGACAAUCUACGCACGUAGAUCGUCAUACUCUUCUCUGCUGGACGCGGGUUCGCCCCCGCCAUCUCCACAA